GUGUAGGUCCUGUUGUUGUCCAAUAGAGACAUAUCACCUGGAACCAUAAAUAUCUAGUGGUGAUACUGUUGAAACUUGAAACUGGAGCGAGUUAUUUGGUGUGACUCAACAUGUCAUACCAAUAUGGUGCCUAGAGCAGCUUAUCUUCUUAUGUCUUAUUAUUUGGCACAAACCAAACUUUAUUAUUUUAAGUAUUCACGUUUCUAAAGACAAAUUGUUUCGUAUUCUGCUUCCGUGGGUUUCAUUGUAUAUGCUUGCCGUGUGUGUUAAAAUUUCAGUUAAAAAUAGCAAAUUCAGGCAUAUGUCAUGUUUCGAAUCUGGCAACGUCCAAUUUGAAUUAUUGUCGUCCUCUUUAUCUCUUCUAGAUUUUUUUUUGCGGAAAUCUCUUCUUGAUUUUAGAUUCAUCAACCAGGGUAUCAUUUCCAACCGUCAGUGUCCUAGCUGGAGAUCACUUCCUUUUUUUGCGUAUGUCCUUCCUUAUCUUUUCCAUCCUUAAAUUAUAAGAUACGUAGCAGCGCGCACAUGUAUAUAAAAAUAUUAUCCUUCUUUAUUUCUCUUGUGAAGAGUCUCUGGUUCCUUCCUUAUUUACCAUGAUCUCUGAGAGACUUCCUGAUACCCAGGAAAUGAAUGAUGUAUAUAAAUAAGAUAGAUUGGAUGUAAAUCAGCUAGGUGGGACUAGUCAAUAUCGGCCUCAACCUUCCCUUGUAGACACAGGACGUUAGCUUAGUUGACCUUGAUUUUUGCUUCUUAACCGGGAUAGAUGGGCCUCAACUUUCCCUUGUACACACAGGACGUUAGCUUAGUUGGCCUUGAUUUUUGCCUCUUAACCGGGAUAGAUGGGCCGGUUUUCUGGACCAUGACACAUGGGUUGGUUCGUUCGCUCGGCCUCGCUGGCUAACGAAGGAAACUGACGUACGAAAUAGCGGACGGAUGAAACGGACGAAAAUUAGGGCGUAAGAAGCGUUUCGUGCUUUAUUAUUAGGUAAAGAUGUGUAGGUCCUGUUGUUGUCCAAUAGAGACAUAUCACCUGGAACCAUAAAUAUCUAGUGGUGAUACUGUUGAAACUUGAAACUGGAGCGAGUUAUUUGGUGUGGCUCAACAUGUCAUAGCAAUAUGGUGCCUAGAGCAGCUUAUCUUCUUAUGUCUUAUUAUUUGGCACAAACCAAACUUCAUUAUAUUAAGUAUUCACGUUUCUAAAGACAAAUUGUUUCGUAUUCUGUCUCCGUGGGUUUCAUUGUAUAUGCUUUCCAUGUGUGUUAAAAAUUCAGUUAAAAAUAGCAAAUUCAGGCACAUGUCAUGUUUCGAAUCUGGCAACGUGCAAUUUGAAUUACUGUCGUCCUCUUUAUCUCUUCUAGAUUUUUUUUGCGGAAAUCUCUUCUAGAUUUUAGAUUCAUCAACCAGGGUAUGAUUUCCAACCGUCAAUGUCCUAGCAGGAGAUCACUUCCUUUUUUUGUGUAUGUCCUUCCUUAUCUUUUCCAUCCUUAAAUUAUAAGAUACGUAGCAGCGCGCACAUGAAUAUAUAAAUAUUAUCCUUCUUUAUUUCUCUUGUGAAGAGCCUCUGGUUCCUUCCUUAUUUAUCAUGAUCUCUGAGAGACUUCCUGAUACCCAGGAAAUGAAUGAUGUAUAUAAAUAAGAUAGAUUGGAUGUAAAUCAGCGAGGCGGGACUAUUCAAUAUCGGCCUCAACCUUCCCUUGUAGACACAGGACGUUAGCUUAGUUGGCCUUGAUUUUUGCCUCUUAACCGGGAUAGAUGGGCCUCAACUUUCCCUUGUACACACAGGACGUUAGCUUAGUUGGCCUUGAUUUUUGCCGCUUAACCGGGAUAGAUGAGCCUGAUUUUCUGGACCAUGACACAUGGGUUGGUUCGUUCGCUCGGCCUCGCUGGCCGACGAAGGAAACUGACGUACGAAAUAGCGGACGGACGAAACGGACGAAAAUCAGGGCGUAAGAAGCGUUUCGUGCUUUAUUAUUAGGUAAAGAUGUGUAGGUCCUGUCGUUGUCCAAUAAAGACAUAUCACCUGGAACCAUAAAUAUCUAGUGGUGAUACUGUUGAAACUUGAAACUGGAGCGAGUUAUUUGGUGUGGCUCAACAUGUCAUAGCAAUAUGGUGCCUAGAGCAGCUUAUCUUCUUCUGUCUUAUUAUUUGGCACAAACCAAACUUUAUUAUAUUAAGUAUGCACGUUUCUAAAGACAAAUUGUUUCGUAUUCUGCUUCCGUGGGUUUCAUUGUAUAUGCUUGCCGUGUGUGUUAAAAAUUCAGUUAAAAAUAGCACAUUCAGGCACAUGUCAU
rnacentral:lncRNA from 1 species